GAUCCUGGCUCAGGACGAACGCUGGCGGCGUGCCUAACACAUGCAAGUCGAACGGAGUCGGCCCCUCAAGGGACUGACUUAGUGGCGAACGGGUGAGUAACGCGUGAGCAACCUGCCUUUCAGUGGGGGACGAACAGUUGGAAACGACUGCUAAUACCGCAUAAAGCAUUUUGACCGCAUGAUCGAGAUGCCAAAGAUUUAUUGCUGAAAGAUGGGCUCGCGUCUGAUUAGAUAGUUGG
rnacentral:rRNA from 1 species